UACGUAGGGCGCAAGCGUUGUUCGGAAUUAUUGGGCGUAAAGAGCUCGUAGGCGGUUUGUCGCGUCUGCUGUGAAAUCCCGAGGCUCAACCUCGGGCUUGCAGUGGGUACGGGCAGACUAGAGUGCGGUAGGGGAGACUGGAAUUCCUGGUGUAGCGGUGGAAUGCGCAGAUAUCAGGAGGGACACCGAUGGCGAAGGCAGGUCUCUGGGCCACAACUGACGCUGAGACGCGAAAGCGUGGGGAGCAAACAGG
rnacentral:rRNA from 1 species